GAGAGGCAGGGCCAGUAUUAAUGUAGCGGAGGUGUAGCAAGUUGUUAUUGUGAUCAUAGCUACACCAUGAAGACACAGCUUACACUCUGCUGCCUCCUGCUGCUCCAGGUCAUCCUGGCCUCCCCGACACUUUGGAAGACUUAUAGUAAGGUUAUUAACCAGGGUGCGUCUGCAACUUCUGCCAUCACAACACCAUGCAGAGAACCUUGUUACAAGCUCGACAGCUUGACUCAAAAUUGUGUGAACACGUGUGUCAGCCCAGCAGCGGCUCCCAGCUUUCCAGCAGCGCCUCCCAGAUUGCCUUCCAGGAAGGAAAAUACCAGGCCAUAUCUACAGUGAGCGAGAUCCAUCUUUGAAGUCUCCUAGACUAUUUGGAUGUAUUCGUAUUCAAGUCACAAUCCAGAGGUGACAUCCCCAACACUGUGAUCACCAAGUUUGUGGCACCAGCUACGCGUGCACCAUUCACGAUAUUCAACACCAUCACCAUCUAAAGCUGGUGCCACGACCCAAAGCUGGUGCCACGACCCACACCUGACGUUACCACCUGCACCAGAAGUCACCGUCCACCAGUGACAUCAGCCACCUAGCUGUACCAACAACAACAAGCUUUCCCAUAUAAUAUCGUGGCAAUAUUGAAAAUUUCACCCAGUGGCAACAAGCAAUAUUUUACCCACAUCAAAACAAGUAAACUGUAUGUGUUCGUCUCCCUGGACAGUGUUAAGUUAGCUGCUUUAACUUACUCCCUGGACAGUGUUAAGUUAGCUGCUUUAAGUUAGCUGCUUUAACUUACUCCCUGGACUGUUAAGUUAGCUGCUCUAACUUACUCCCUGGACAGUGUUAAGUUAGCUGCUUUAACUUACUCCCUGGACAGUGUUAAGUUAGCUGCUUUAACUUACUUUCCCUGGACAGUGUUAAGUUAGCUGCUUUAACUUACUCCCUGGACAUGUGUUAAGUUAGGUGCUUUAACUUACUCCCUGGACAGUGUUAAGUUAGCUGCUUUAACUUACUCCCUGGACAGUGUUAAGUUAGCUGCUUUAACUUACUCCCUGGACAGUGUUAAGUUAGCUGCUUUAACUUACUCCCUGGACAGUGUUAAGUUAGGUGCUUUAACUUACUCCCUGGACAGUGUUAAGUUAGCUGCUUUAACUUACUCCCUGGACAGUGUUAAGUUAGCUGCUUUAACUUACUCCCUGGAGAGUGUUAAGUUAGCUGCUUUAACUUACUCCCUGGACAGUGUUAAGUUAGCUGCUUUAACUUACUCCCUGGACAGUGUUAAGUUAGCUGCUUUAACUUACUCCCUGGACAGUGUUAAGUUAGCUGCUUUAACUUACUCCCUGGACAGUGUUAAGUUAGGUGUUUUAACUUAUUCUGCUUCCCUCACGAUGUUAAUUUUUUGUAAAAAAACUAUAACCAAAUUGUAUGGAGUUAUUUUUUAAAGAACAUUAACUUAAAAUCUUCAAUGUUUUGUUAACCAAUAAACGCUAAACUCGUAUGAGUUGCCUCUUUAUAAGUGCUAGUACAAUGAUGUCAUGUUUGCCUGGGUUUUUGUGUGUUAACAUUUGUUUGGUUCUCUUUUAAAUAUAAUUAUAAUGGAAAUAAAGUUAUAAUCUGGG